rnacentral:rRNA from 1 species
UACGAAGGGGGCGAGCGUUGUUCGGAUUUACUGGGCGUAAAGGGCGCGCAGGCGGCUCAUUUUGUCAGGCGUGAAAGCCCCGGGCUUAACCUGGGAACUGCGUUUGAUACGGAUGGGCUAGAGUUCGGGAGAGGAGCGUGGAAUUCCCAGUGUAGAGGUGAAAUUCGUAGAUAUUGGGAAGAACACCGGUGGCGAAGGCGGCGAUCUGGGUCGAUACUGACGCUGAGGUGCGAAAGCGUGGGGAGCAAACAGG